AUUGAACGCUGGCGGCAGGCCUAACACAUGCAAGUCGAACGGUAACAGGAAACAGCUUGCUGUUUCGCUGACGAGUGGCGGACGGGUGAGUAAUGUCUGGGAAACUGCCUGAUGGAGGGGGAUAACUACUGGAAACGGUAGCUAAUACCGCAUAACGUCGCAAGACCAAAGAGGGGGACCUUCGGGCCUCUUGCCAUCGGAUGUGCCCAGAUGGGAUUAGCUAGUAGGUGGGGUAACGGCUCACCUAGGCGACGAUCCCUAGCUGGUCUGAGAGGAUGACCAGCCACACUGGAACUGAGACCCGGUCCAGUCUCCUACGGGAGGCAGCAGUGGGGAAUAUUGCACAAUGGGCGCAAGCCUGAUGCAGCCAUGCCGCGUGUAUGAAGAAGGCCUUCGGGUUGUAAAGUACUUUCAGCGGGGAGGAAGGGAGUAAAGUUAAUACCUUUGCUCAUUGACGUUACCCGCAGAAGAAGCACCGGCUAACUCCGUACCAGCCGCCGCAGUAA
rnacentral:rRNA from 1 species